GGGCUGCGGGUUGUUCGAAAGAGAUACCGCGGCCCUGGCACAUAAAAGGCCCACGACGGAACACGACGGUUUUUAGUCAGUAAGAGUCUGACACUCCCUCGCCGCUGCUAACCCACAGCGGGAGGGGUCAUUUGAUGAUUUUUGACGUCGAUAAAAAAAAUUGUGUAUGUAUGUAGGGUAAACUGGGUACGGUUGUGCCAGGGUACGGUAGUGACAGUCGCAGUUGUAACGAAACUAUACGUAAAACGGGGGAGGUGGUGAGGGAGAAAGACGUGGCUCACAAGCCUAAACACGUACCCCAGUAUUGCGUUAGCCGGCGCACGACGUUGACGUAAGCAGGAGCCCACAUUGCUUUUCAACAAUCAAAAAUGUCCAGGAUACGUUUGCGGAAGACCGAAAGAGCGCAGUGUGAUAUCAAAAAAUAAAAAGAUGCCGAUGAAGAAGUGAAACAAGGGAUUUCGUACGUGUAGCUCAAGCUACAAGCCUUUCUACAGCUACAAGUUUGAACAGAGCAAAUGUUGUUUUGUUGAUUGUUAAAACUAUGUUUGUAAGCUUAUUAUGUUAAACAUUUCUACAAUAAAAGAUAUUAUAGACCA